AACCCCCUCGGGAGGCAGCAGUGGGGAAUAUUGCGCAAUGGGCGAAAGCCUGACGCAGCGACGCCGCGUGAGGGAUGAAGGUCUUCGGAUCGUAAACCUCUGUCAGCAGGGAAGAACGGUCACUGUGCUAAUCAGCAGUGAAUUGACGGUACCUGCAAAGGAAGCACCGGCUAACUCCGUGCCAGCAGCCGCGGUAAUACGGAGGGUGCGAGCGUUAAUCGGAAUUACUGGGCGUAAAGCGCUCGUAGGCGGUAUGUCAAGUCAAGGGGGAACUCCCCGCGCUCAAUGUGGGAA
rnacentral:rRNA from 1 species